rnacentral:lncRNA from 1 species
AAAAUAGAAGCUGUUGAUUAACACUCUGCUUCAACAGCAGCAAGUUCUACAAGGUCUACGACAUUUCCUCUCCUUCCUUCAGCCAUCUGGUGUCAGGGUAAUUUUUUAUGAAAGGAUGGCAGUCAGAGGUGAAGUUCUGUGGCUCUUUCAGGCUCUCUGUGCCUGAGAGUAAAGCAAGCUCAAUUCUGAAGGGGCUGGAACUGUGUUUGGCCAGAGGUUUUCAUCUGUGUGAUUACUGUUACUUCUUCAUGUGCCAGGGAAGGGCUAUGGAAAGUAACUUUUCCUUUUUAGUGACACACACUUUUCAUUCCACUGUGGAUAAAAUGUAGCUGGAAUAGCUAUAAUGCAUCUCACAUUUAAUAGUGAUGAAUAUUGACCUUUCUUUUUCAGAGCUAGUGCCCUUUGGGAGACAAAACCAUCUUGGGACAUGAGAUAGAUAAGACAUGAUUAGUUUGCAAAUAUAUGGUUCUUUACAUUAGAGGAAGAAGCAUUAGAAUUAGAAGAAAAUGCUGUUACCGGAAGGACAAUGACGCAAACUCAGGUGAACAGAGGAAGGAAAGGAUAGAGUUUGAAGGGCUGAGGUGUGGAAAGCAAAAGAUUAAACUUUCAAACAACCUCGUCGCUGGACAGAGGGAUGAAGAUCUAACUGAGCUGAGUAUCUCAUGCUACAAACAAUUGCCAUCAUCAAGUGCAGCAAUAAACAAAUCAAAAAUUAAGUUUUUGUAG